GGACACGGAUUUGCAGUGUAUGCUCAGCAGCCAGUGACAGCCUCCUGUUCUAAGAGAAAAAUGGACACUUUGGUUCCCAGCCAUUCUGCCAGAGAACCGAAGAUCACUGCAGUUUGGUUUUUACAGACUCUGUACCACUCUUGCAGCCUGGGACUCUGAGGUGCAAACUUGGCCAGCCCAGUGAGGAAGUACUACUGCUCAUUGACCUCUGUGAAUAUGCCCAAAACAUCUUGCUCCAGAAUAAACUCGUGCUUUGCUGAUGAAAUGAAACAUACUGGGGCCACACUCAGAAUAGAAUGUCCUUGGCCCGGUGAUCCCUUGUGAGCUGCUGACAAGAGCCGGAGAGCGGGCACUGCCACGCUCCGUACUUGGAGCUCCUGACUGAGGGCAAGAGCCUUCAGAAUAUGAAGCCGAAAGCUGUGCUGGGAGACAGGCUGUGGGGGCAUGCGCAGGCUCCCUGGACAAUUUACAGCAGCCCAAGUUCCCACCAAGCAAGCAAGAUCACAGCAGCGAAAGCGGGGAAUGAUGAUCAGCAGCUGUUAAAGCAAGAUAACAGAAGCGGAAAGCAAAAGGCGCUGCCCAUCAGUUCUGGUAGAACUUGCCCUCGUCCCCCUCGUGCACCAAGCCCUCCCCAGUCACCUUCUGGCAUCAUCUGGAGAUAUCCUGUACUGUGUCCUGGAACGUCUACUCACGGAGAUGCAAGCGUCCUGUUUUGCUAUCUUCUGGGUCCCCCACGAGCCCUGCAGGCCAUGUGGAAGACAGUCGGACAUCUGUCAGCCUCUGGUUGCAGCCAUGGAUACAAGUCUAGGGGAGACCAGCUGAAGAAACACCAGCUGGGCCCAGGCCAAAUUGCUGACAUCCAGAACGGUAGCUAAUAAAUGAUUGCUUUAAGCCACUAAGCUUUGGGGUGGUUUCUUAUGGAGCGAAGGCUAACUGGUACAUGUGCCCUUUGAUGGGGGCAGCUCCUACUUAGCUCCAGCCUAGAGCUACCAGGCUAGAGUAUGGUACCACUAUUUUGGGCUUCCCUGGUGGCUCAGAUGGUAAAGAAUCUGCCUGCUAUGCAAGAGAAAUGGGUUUGAUCCCUGGGUAGGGAAAAUCUCCUGGAGCAGGGAAUGGCUACCCACUCCAGUAUUCUUGCCUGGAGAAUUCCACGGACAGAGCAGCCUGGUGGGUUACAAAGAGUUGGACACGACUGGGUGACUAAUAUUUUUUUUAAAUAUCACCAUACCUUCACGUUUUUUUUUCAGAGAAGAGAAAAAUUCAAGAUAAUUUUUAUACGAAAUAGUCCAACUUUUAAAUGAUAGCACUAAUUUUAAAAUGUUCUGGAGGGGAGGGAGAUGCAAGAGGGAGAAGAUAUAUGUAUACGUAUAGCUGAUUCACUUCAUUUACAACAGAAACUAAUGCAACAUUGUAAAGCGAUUAUACCCCAAAUUACACUCCAAUAAAAACGUUUUAGAGACUCUCCCAAACAUCUGGGGUCUGGACUUAUUGCCCUGGGGCAGUCUUCCUCCUUGCCAGGGGCUCCUUUGCUUGCCUCAUCACUCUCCCUGAUCUAGGGGAAGUGGGCUCAGGAAGGGGGCUCAUGAGCCAGUGGCCAGCCUCUAGGGAUCCCUGGAACCAAAGGCUUCCUCUUGGCCUGCCUUAGAGCACUGAGUCUUUUAGGGAUAUUUAUGGAAGGACGAGAGUCCCUCUGAAAAAAACACCCAAGGAGAUUUCUUCUGCUCCUUCUUCAAGACUGCACAAGAUGCCACCCACUCUGAACUUCCCCACCAUGUGGUUCACGCCUGGACUAGGGAAAGUCAUAAAUGCAAUCCUUUUUCCUUUUUUCCUUUCACUUGUCUCCCUCACUAGACCAGGGGAACUUCUGUUGGG
rnacentral:lncRNA from 1 species